UACGGGGGGGGUAAGCGUUGUUCGGAAUUACUGGGCGUAAAGGGCUCGUAGGCGGCCAACUAAGUCAGACGUGAAAUCCCUCAGCUUAACUGGGGAACUGCGUCUGAUACUGGAUGGCUUGGAUUUGGGAGAGGAAUGCGGAAUUCCAGGUGUAGCGGUGAAAUGCGUAGAUAUCUGGAGGAACACCGGUGGCGAAGGCGGCUAUCUGGCCCAACAUUGACGCUGAGACCCGAAAGCGUGGGGAUCAAACAGG
rnacentral:rRNA from 1 species